AUUGAACGCUGGCGGCAGGCUUAACACAUGCAAGUCGAGCGGGGGAAGGUAGCUUGCUACUGGACCUAGCGGCGGACGGGUGAGUAAUGCUUAGGAAUCUGCCUAUUAGUGGGGGACAACAUCUCGAAAGGGGUGCUAAUACCGCAUAUGUACUACGGGAGAAAGCAGGGGAUCUUCGGACCUUGCGCUAAUAGAUGAGCCUAAGUCGGAUUAGCUAGUUGGUGGGGUAAAGGCCUACCAAGGCGACGAUCUGUGGCGGGUCUGAGAGGAUGAUCCGCCACACUGGGACUGAGACACGGCCCAGACUCCUACGGGAGGCAGCAGUGGGGAAUAUUGGACAAUGGGGGGAACCCUGAUCCAGCCAUGCCGCGUGUGUGAAGAAGGCCUUAUGGUUGUAAAGCACUUUAAGCGAGGAGGAGGCUACUUUAGUUAAUACCUAGAGAUAGUGGACGUUACUCGCAGAAUAAGCACCGGCUAACUCUGUGCCAGCCGCCGCAGUAA
rnacentral:rRNA from 1 species